UUAUUUUCACCCCUCACGUUCUAACUCACUUUCUCCUUCUCCCUCACCUUCACCCCCCUCAUCUCCAUUUGUUUAUAAACAAAUUGUAGUAUUUAAAACCUUAAUGUCAGAGUAUUUUCCCUUAGGAUCAAUCCUUAUUCGAUUUGUCAUACAUUUUGAAUGAGCUCCCCCCCUCUAGAACGGACAUAAAUUACCUUUUACGUUCGCUAUAGAGCCGAGUGGACCAGGACAACUGCCCCAUCGUCGACGUGAUAAAUGUCCACAGGGGCAACGUCCUAAACAGUAGCCUGUAUGCGUUUCAACGCAUAAACUUGAAUGCAGGGGCUAAGAUGGAUGUUGCAUUCGUGUAUGUUGAGUCCAAGGGGUCCCUCCAGGGAGUAUUACAGGCUCCUCAUGGGGGACAUCAGAGACUCGGCCAUCUUCGAUGGUCCGGAAGGAGCGAAACGGCUGUACCUUGAUGUUCAUGGUCUUUACAAUAAAGACCUGUACGUGAUAAAGACAGCGGUGUCCCUGUCGCCACGGUGAUAUGAGUCUAUUCCGAAGACAUCAACAAACUCUCCCUCAGACACUCCAUCCAGAGAGCAGCUACUCAGGUAUGGAGAGAACAGAGGAUGAUUUUACCAGAGGCUCAAGAGAACCCAGAGAGGAUUCAUCUUCACUAGUUUUGUUUCAGUGUGAGGACGUAUACAAUGCAAAACAUUAUAUUGUACUUCGCUACAAAUGGCCCCCAAAGGUAUUUUUUAUCACAUUAAAGAUCUUGUGUUUCAGGGCUACAUUAAACAGAUGCAUCACUUGUGAAUUACAUAAAUAUUAAACAUCAAUAGGAUCAAUUAAACAAGUUGUGUUGCAACAAUGAAAACUAUCUUGAAU